UGUUCUUGCAGAUGCAAAACGGUAGGCGACCCUGAUCUUUGACUUAGGCGUCUCUUAGUGGCACUUGCACCUCGGCGUUGGUUUUCUGUGCGUGGGUGUGCGGUAAUCGGUGAUUUCUAAUUAAUUCUAAUUAUUCCAGACACCUCAGUAACUCAACUGGUAAUU
rnacentral:lncRNA from 1 species